GACGUAGGGCGCGAGCGUUGUCCGGAUUUAUUGGGCGUAAAGAGCUCGUAGGCGGCUUGUCGCGUCGACUGUGAAAACCCGCGGCUCAACUGUGGGCUUGCAGUCGAUACGGGCAGGCUGGAGUUCGGUAGGGGAGACUGGAAUUCCUGGUGUAGCGGUGAAAUGCGCAGAUAUCAGGAGGAACACCGGUGGCGAAGGCGGAUCUCUGGGCCUUACCUGACGCUGAGGCGCGAAAGCUAGGGGAGCGAACAGG
rnacentral:rRNA from 1 species